AAGUCUUGUUCCUUCUCUUUUUUCGUUUUCUCUUUUUUUUCGUCCUUUUCCCUUGAUUUUGACCCCUACUGGUCCCCCCUUCUCUUCUCUCCCUCUAAUGUUUCUUGGUAGUGCCGGUACUCUCUCUCCUACCUCUCUUGCUCUCCCACAGAACAUGCUCUCCAUUUUCUCACUCUUUUUUUCUGCUGUCCCCUUUCAUCUGUCCAUUCCGUGAGCGUUUUCUUCUUUUCUUCGUCCUCUCUUCCAGAAUGGGAAAUCACGCACAGAACGAGCAGUAUGGCUGGUGGCAUUGUCAUGCUGGAGGGUCAUGUCAGGAUGAGCCUGUAGGAAGGGUACCACAUGAGGGAGAAGGAUGUCUUCCCUGUAACGCACAGCAUUGAGAUCGCCUGCAAUGACAACAAGCUCAGUCCGAUGAUGCUGUGACACAUCGCCC
rnacentral:lncRNA from 1 species